AUUUUGUGUUUCUAGAAGGUAUCUUAUGCCAUCACAGUGGACACUUUGUUUACCUUACAGUAUAAGAGAAAUUAGGAAGCAGCAUCGAUAACAUACAAGUUCUUGCGUCCAAAACAACUAAAACGUCCAUGGAGGACUGCAACAUGGCAACGCGCAAGCAAAUUAGCAGUGAUUAUUCCUGCGGUGGGUGGGGCAACGAUAAGGGAAAGCACUGCAAGAGCAAGUCGUCGCCGGGGUGUGUCAUCCUUACCGAGGAGACAGCUGCCGAGCAACAACCACAUAGAGCUUUACCAGGUUCAGCUACCAAGGCUGCAGAUGGAAGGCAUCAGCGCAGAUGGUGUUGUGUUUAGUCACUCGGAACUCCUAAGGAUGAAUGCUGGGGAGAGAGCACUACGUUACAAUAAAGAGUCAUAAUGUUGUGUUUGUGCAUGAAUAAUGGAUACCGUUGCUUGCUCCUACCAUUUUCGGCCAAGCUCUGCUAUAUAUCUUCUGAUUAUGGUCAAUGUUGCAUCGGCCAACCUGGGUUUUCUCUUAUUUUCUUUUCUGAAUGUAUGGAGUAAUUAAUAAAGAAUCAAACUUAACUACUCUCUAGGGUUUAAUUUGUAAGGUUUUUGGAUGAUCUUGUCAUGGGUUUUGUGCUGUGCAAUCUUUUUUUUUAAAAAAAAAAAAACAAAACCAGUUGCCUUUUGAGAGGCAACAGCAAAGCAUUAAUGGGUGUGAGACAGAGAACUUGAAAUUUAAGUGGCCAUGCGAGGUUCUAGGGAAGAUGAAGGUGCCCUCGCCUCGAGUUGGUGGGAGGAGGUAGCGCUUGUGAUAUUCUCAUUUCUCGAAGUAAACAACAAUGUGACCCACCUACCUUAUAUAGCCCAAGAGCAUAAUAGCCUGACCUAGGCAAAUAUUUGGCUUGGAUCUUGCUGUCCUUGAGCGCAAGAGGACUAGAAAACACGAAGAACACGAACAAUUGUGUGUCCAUAACGAAGCAGCUUGCUAUCAUUCUGUUGUGUAUUUUGUCUAAUGAUUAGUCAUCAAAGCAUGUGAAUGUAAGAAACAAAGGGCUCCAUAUGUCCACUUUCACAAAAC